AGGUUUGGUUCCCUCAGUGUAAAGACCCAGCAGAUGUGAAAUGGCAACACGUUACUGACUGGAGAGUAACUUAAAUCAGCAAGAAUUUAAUAGCUUCCUUGGCUGGGUGAAAAGCUACAGGUUUGGGCCUUCAUCCAGGAGACUCCAGGUCAAAUCUGUCUUUGCUAUGGCGUGCUUUACUUCAUUUUGCAUGCACUAGACAAAGUUUAAACCCCAGGUGGUGA